UGGUGGAGCGAUUUGUCUGGUCAAUUCCGAUAACGAACGAGACUCUAGCCUACUAAAUAGUUCGGGGACCCCCACAAAGGGGCCCCGCUUCAACUUCUUAGAGGGACAGGAGGCGUUUAGCCACACGAGAUUGAGCAAUAACA
rnacentral:rRNA from 1 species